rnacentral:rRNA from 1 species
UGGGGAAUUUUGGACAAUGGGCGCAAGCCUGAUCCAGCCAUGCCGCGUGCGGGAAGAAGGCCUUCGGGUUGUAAACCGCUUUUGUCAGGGGAGAAAUCUUCUGAGUUAAUACCUCGGGAGGAUGACGGUACCUGAAGAAUAAGCACCGGCUAACUACGUGCCAGCAGCCGCGGUAAUACGUAGGGUGCAAGCGUUAAUCGGAAUUACUGGGCGUAAAGCGUGCGCAAGCGGUUUUGUAAGACAGAGGUGAAAUCCCCGGGCUCAACCUGGGAACUGCCUUUGUGACUGCAAGGCUUGAGUGCGGCAGAGGGGGAUGGAAUUCCGCGUGUAGCAGUGAAAUGCGUAGAUAUGCGGAGGAACACCGAUGGCGAAGGCAAUCCCCUGGGCCUGCACUGACGCUCAUGCACGAAAGCGUGGGGAGCAAAACAGGAUUAGAUACCCUGGUAGUCCACGCCCUAAACGAUGUCAACUGGUUGUUGGGGAAGGUUCCUUCUCAGUAACGUAGCUAACGCGUGAAGUUGACCGCCUGGGGAGUACGGCCGCAAGGUUGAAAC